UACGUAGGGUGCAAGCGUUAAUCGGAUUUACUGGGCGUAAAGCGUGCGCAGGCGGUUUUGUAAGUUUGUCGUGAAAUCCCCGGGCUUAACCUGGGAAUUGCGAUGAAGACUGCAAGGCUUGAAUCUGGCAGAGGGGGGUAGAAUUCCACGUGUAGCAGUGAAAUGCGUAGAGAUGUGGAGGAACACCGAUGGCGAAGGCAGCCCCCUGGGUCAAGAUUGACGCUCAUGCACGAAAGCGUGGGGAGCAAACAGG
rnacentral:rRNA from 1 species